rnacentral:rRNA from 1 species
CCUACGGGCGGCUGCAGUGGGGAAUAUUGCACAAUGGGCGCAAGCCUGAUGCAGCCAUGCCGCGUGUGUGAAGAAGGCCUUCGGGUUGUAAAGCACUUUCAGCGGGGAGGAAGGCGGUGAGGUUAAUAACCUCAUCGAUUGACGUUACCCGCAGAAGAAGCACCGGCUAACUCCGUGCCAGCAGCCGCGGUAAUACGGAGGGUGCAAGCGUUAAUCGGAAUUACUGGGCGUAAAGCGCACGCAGGCGGUCUGUCAAGUCGGAUGUGAAAUCCCCGGGCUCAACCUGGGAACUGCAUUCGAAACUGGCGGGCUAGAGUCUUGUAGAGGGGGGUAGAAUUCCAGGUGUAGCGGUGAAAUGCGUAGAGAUCUGGAGGAAUACCGGUGGCGAAGGCGGCCCCCUGGACAAAGACUGACGCUCAGGUGCGAAAGCGUGGGGAGCAAACAGGAUUAGAUACCCGUGUAGUC